rnacentral:rRNA from 1 species
CCUACGGGAGGCAGCAGUGGGGAAUAUUGCACAAUGGGCGAAACCCUGAUGCAGCGACGCCGCGUGAGUGAAGAAGUAUUUCGGUAUGUAAAGCUCUAUCAGCAGGGAAGAAAAUGACGGUAGCUGACUAAGAAGCAACGGCUAACUACGUGCCAGCAGCCGCGGUAAUACGGAGGGGGCGAGGGUUAGCCGGAUUUACUGGGGGUAAAGGGAGCGUAGACGGCGGAACAAGUCAGAAGUGAAAACCGGGGGCUCAACGCUGGGAGUGCUUUUGAAACUGGUGGGCUGGAGUGCAGGAGAGGUAAGCGGAAUGCCUGGUGUAGCGGUGAAAUGCGUAGAUAUUAGGAGGAACACCAGUGGCGAAGGCGGCUUACUGGACCGUAACUGACGUUGAGGCUCGAAAGCGUGGGGAGCAAACAGGAUUAGAUACCCCAGUAGUC